GGAAGGGGAAGAGCACGACGUGCGGGCUCCUCGCCUCCUCUCCCUCUGCCGCCAUGGUGAGGUGAUGAUGGGGACGGGGUGUUCGGUACUUCGGUGGAAGUGGACGCUGAGAGUGAUGCGGCUCCCGCGCUGCCACUGAAAAACAAAACGCUGAUGCGCUGAAUGGCUGGAAAGGCGCCCUCCACUCACCGGGUCCAGGUUUGAGCAGCAGAGCUUCAUCAGAUUAUCAAAAGGAGUACAGAAAGACGAAGGGAUGGCACAUUGGUACCGAUCGAUGCAAUGUCUGCAGUUCUCCACUGCAUUCUGCUGGUACUCCUAUAUGUACUCUGGCCCCCGGUAGUACUAAUACCACAUGAGUAACAUCAGUGAUUAUAUGAUUAUUAUCAAAGGCGAACUUUAGGAAGGGAUGGAGAUACUAGCUGAAUUGCUUGAAGCAGAACCGUAGAUGGAGAUAAUCAGAGCUUUCCAAACGGGAACACUAUUAACAGGUAUUUGGUCUAUCGACUAUUAUUUACAACAA